AAGAGACGUCCUUUACGUGAAAGAUCUCUUUCUCCAGAAGUGACUUCGCAUUCUUCACCUGAGACCUUUGAACCAGAUCUUGAGGAGAUGGCCAAUCAACCUCCUCCCAGACGCACUUUGGGGGACGCAGUUAGUACAGUUGGUCCCUUGAAUUUUAACAGCAUUGAAGUUCCAGCAAACAAUACAACCAGAAUGGUGAUGAGUC
rnacentral:lncRNA from 1 species